rnacentral:lncRNA from 1 species
CAUGACAGAAGGUUAAAGUCAUUUUUCUGUUCAAAUAGUGUCUCUGCAUUACUUACAAACUCUUAACAGUUUCUUUGCAUGCAUUACUAUGCCCUGAUCAUUUUCUUUUCCGACGGCUAGAAAGUCACUGGUUUUCCUCCUAAAAUGAAUUCUUUUUUUCUAGGAAAGCUCCUCAAAUGUUACUUUACUAACAUUGUUUCUUUGCAAGCAGGGAUUUUAAAUGGAGGACGUAAACCAGCAACCUCCCCACACACAGUGGGCUGUUCAUUGCAGUGAUUGUGAGUCUGCUCUUCCUUGUGUUAUUGAGGUUCACAGCUGGGGUUCUCUUCUGGAUUUUCAUCUUUGGUGUGAUUGGAAUUAUAGGUUAUGGCAUCUGGCAUUGUUACUGGGAGUACAACCAUCUGAAAGGAAUACCUGGAUCUGACCUCACUGUUUAGGAUACUGGAUUCCAGAGGGACUUCAGAGUGUGCCUGCAGCUGAGGCAAACAUGGUUAGCAUUUAGGGUGCUGCUGUGGCUGGUUAAUGGGUGUUACUGGGCACCCUCCUCUCAACCCAUACCCCCCCAGGCUCAUCACCUUCCUCCAAGAGGCCAAUCUGCCCAUCAUCAUCUUCAGCAGGCUCCUUCAAGCCGCCACCAACUACAGCCAAGGCCACAUGGGGCAGCUCUCAGGGGUCACCACCACCCUCCUGUUCGGGGGGGCCGGGCGCAGGUCUUCACCUCCCUUCAGGUGAGACCCCCCACCUUGGACGCCCCAAAUCCCCUUUUCCACCCCCCGCAAUGUUCCAUCUCCAACAGGAGACAGAGGACCCACUCCUGGCCUUGACCUUCGCCACGUUGGCCGCCUGCAAUGGGCUCCUAUUGGGGCAGCUGCUGUAUUAUGGGGGGAGGAGCCCCCAAACCUCCCCCUCACCGCAAAGUGGACUGACCCCGGAUCCCCCCAUACCCUCCCCCCAAUGGAACAAACUGGGGGGGUGGUGUUAAAAAGGGGGUUUUUGUGGGGUGAAACAUCCCCCCAUUAAUAAAAUGGGUUUUCACUG